rnacentral:lncRNA from 1 species
GGACUGUGUGAUUUUUGUUCUUUAGUAGAAGGAUAACAUGACAUAGCAGGAAUAAUACUGCCUUUUCUUUCUGGCAUGGAUCAAGAGAAAAGAAAAUACAAGAAAACAGACAGAAGAUCCUAUCUGCGACAAUUAAGAGCACUCUAAGAGGAAAACACAUCCCACCACAGCAAGGUACUUCUAUGGAAGGGUGAGCCCUCACAGAUGGAGCAAUGGGGCGCGCACACCUGAACAAGGGAGGGGAAGGAGUUCUUAUCCCUGAUGCAUGUGACCCCUGCUGCUGUGUCCUUCCCCUAUUGGCUAAGGCUUCUGACAGCUUUGGAGAUUGUGACAUUGGAAUAAAGGAAAAACGUACAGGACUCAUGAAGCGCUGAAAUGUUCACAAAUAUCAAGCAAAAGUCAAUGAAAUUUAUUUUGAGCUAUUUACAUCAUUUAAUAAUUGAGCAAGGUAUACUCCUAUGAACAAAAUUUGGAGCAUGUUUGUCUCUCUCUGCCUGGCGUCUUCAGAAUUUGGAAACUAGUUAUGGUUUAUAAUCAGCUAUAGAAUUUUAACACGUGCUCUCAAAUGCAAGUUUCUGAUAACUUUGGAGAUUGUGACAUUGGAAUAAAGGAAGAGCUGGAAUGUUCAUGAAUAUCAAGCAAAAGUCAUGGAAAUUUAUUUUGAGCUAUUUACAGCAUUUAAUAAUUGAGCAAGGUAUACUCCUAUGAACAAAAUUUGGAGCAUGUUUGUCUCUCUCUGUCUGCCUGGCAUCUACAGAAUUUGGAAACUAGUUUCGUUCCCAGAUUUCCUAAACUUUCCAGAGAAAAUGGUCUUCUCCCUGGCUCAGCAAGAAGAUGAACUUUAAACACUGAGAAACUGGUCAUCUCCCUGGCUCAACCAGAAGAUGAACUUUAAACACUACUCUCAAUGACUUGAUGUUCCCAUCACUACUCCUGUCAUAAAGGGAGGGGACUCAGAUAUUGAGAAUUUUAUGAUAGUGUGAACUGUCUGGUAUGUCAUUUAAGUAAGCCCGUUGCUGAAAUAUUUUCCAUGUUAUUAGAAAGAGCUGAAGAGAGGGAUUGAGAUGGCUUCUUUAUUUUUUGUCUUUUGGGAAUUAAAGGAACCUGGUUCAACAAGGGCCUACACCUAAGUCUCUUGUUGUACCAGAGUACAAUUUAGGACUGCUCCUGAGGAAGGAAUUAGCUAGAAAUCUAGAGAGUAAGGGUAACAGAUUUACAUAGAAUAACAGCCUCAGUAUUUUUGGUUCCUCUCCAGUAAAGAUCACAAAGAAUAUUGCUAAAUCGCUAAAACACCUUUGCAAUAACGUAAGGGCUUACAACUAUAUACCAAUGUAGCUCAGUUACUAAACUGGAGUAAACUAAUUUCUCUUGUGUAGAAAAAUUGGUUGGCUGUGGUUUUAUAGCAGAUCUGCAAUUAUUAAUAGUUAUGCCAAUAAUCGUUUAACAGUGCAUAUGUUAAUAUAUAUGGAAAGACAAUGUGUAUAGACAGAUGUGUAAAAUUGAAAAAUAAACAUAUAACAAGAGAGAAACAUCUAUCGAACAGACAAUAUACAUACACAUCAAACACAACAGCAGUUUUAGUGACCAUAAUAUUUAUUUCUCAUUUUUACAUUGCUUACUUUAGUGACAACUGAAAAUGACAGUUGGCAAUGCAGCUAACAGUUUCAAUAAAAGUAUAAAACAAAA